AACGUAGGGGGCGAGCGUUGCCCGGAUUCACUGGGCGUAAAGCGCGUGUAGGCGGUCCGUUAAGUCGGAUGUGAAAUCUCUGGGCUCAACCCAGAAAUCGCAUCCGAUACUGGCGGACUUGAGGAUGGUAGAGGUUGGUGGAAUUCCCGGUGUACCGGUGAAAUGGACAGAUAUCGGGAGGAACACCAGUGGCGAAGGCGGCCAACUGGGCCAUUCCUGACGCUGAGACGCGAAAGCCAGGGGAGCGAACCGG
rnacentral:rRNA from 1 species